CCAUCCCCAUUUUGAGAUCAGAAAACCAAACCCAGAUCACACGUAGAACCAUCUCAUGGUUCUGUGUGCCUUUUUGUUCAGAAGACAAAUUGUUGCAGUUUCAGGCCACAUUUGCAGGCUGGAGGACUCGUGGGGAUUUUAUGAGCCUGUCAGAGCUGCACUGAGAGAUUUGACAGGGAGGCCAUAUUUGUUUCUCUGCAGCCGGCGCUGGAGGCGGUGCUUCAUGACCUCAUCAAUCGCCAGACAAUAACGGUCCCGUUAUUGUCUGGGAUCGUUGUUAUCAACAGCUUAUAAAAUUAGCUUCACAGUGAUCAAUAAGGCAAACGGGUAAGAAAAUAAUCAAGUGUU